rnacentral:rRNA from 1 species
AACGUAGGAGGCGAGCGUUAUCCGGAUUUACUGGGUGUAAAGCGCGUGCAGGCGGUUUGCUAAGUUGGGUGUGAAAGCUCCUGGCUCAACUGGGAGAGGUCGCUCAAGACUGGCAGACUGGAGAGCAGUAGGGGAAGGUGGAAUUCCGGGUGUAGUGGUGAAAUGCGUAGAUAUCCGGAGGAACACCAGUGGCGAAAGCGGCCUUCUGGACUGCAUCUGACGCUCAGACGCGAAAGCUAGGGUAGCAAACGGG